rnacentral:rRNA from 1 species
GUCCACGCCGUAAACGAUGAUUACUAGCUGCUGGAUGUUUUAAACAAUCAGUAGCGCAGCUAACGCGAUAAGUAAUCCGCCUGGGGAGUACGGCCGCAAGGUUAAAACUCAAAGGAAUUGACGGGGGCCCGCACAAGCGGUGGAGCAUGUGGUUUAAUUCGAUGCAACGCGAAGAACCUUACCUACCCUUGACAUACAGAGAAUCCUGCAGAGAUGUGGGAGUGCCGAAAGGAGCUCUGAUACAGGUGCUGCAUGGCUGUCGU